CAGUGCCUCCUUUUGAUGUUGUCGGCGCUGGUAUCCGGAUCGAUGCGGGAUUCGGUCUCUUAACCUCGCAACAGUUCACGGCAAAGCGCUGCGGACACGCUUUCCCUCCACCUCGCCCGCGAAACAACUCCCGCACACCGAGCCGCCAAGACCAACGGCGCACGUCAACUUUCCCGAUUUUGCUACCUCAUUGCUUGCUUGGCCUGCCAGAUCAUUAAUAAUCAUCUUUAGCAUAAUGAACGUUAGAGUGCUGUGGCAUCUGCUUGUUUCUGCACGCUGAAAUAUACUUGUCUGUUAUGUGGGGAACUGAAAGCAGCAAUGCGGCUGCAAGGAUUGGCAGAAGGGAACUGCUUCAAGGCUCUAUGAUUAAAUGAAGCUGCUGCAACACGCUGCAGUUGGAAAAGGGUGAGAUUCUUGAUACUCAACAGCAAACAACGAGUGUGACAGAUUAUCAGUUUCAAAAUGACAGUAGAUUGUCUUGCUUCUUUAAUGUGCUAUAUAUAAUUAUAUUAAAAUUACAUUUUUAUGUAUAUGUAUUAUCUUUCACAUUCAUCUCUCAUUCAUUUUUAAAUAAUGCCCCUAAGAAUAUAGAUAAAAUGUACUUUACUAAUAAAUCCAAUUUUUCUUCUUUAUGAAAUGUAAUGAUGUUAUGUAUGCAGAUCACUUUUGUAUGUGUCAAACCAAAUAAUUUAUAACUCAGUCUUUUUAUUAAUGAGAUUAUUUAUUGGUCUUCAAUUUCUCAGGCUCACGGAAUGAAAUGUAAAGGAAAUACCAUUCAUGUAACAUCAUCUCUGAUGUUGUAUAAUACAGUCACAACUGGGGAGUACAUGCAAUGCCUAACUUUAGAUACCUAAAUUUGAUAGCUAAAUUUUUUGCCUAUUUCCUUGCAUUGCCUCUGGUGUCAAUGAAAAUGAAGAGAAGCCCUGACAAGGUGAUUCAGACCGGGAACCUGGCUACCAAGAGUCAAGAAAAAAUGUAUUUAUGUUUAGACACCUAAAUGAAGUGUCUAAAGCUAAAUGGCACGAGCCCAGGUUCCGCCCCAGUAGGCCGUUUACCACAGAAGCUGUUCCAGUUGUUGUUCUUAAGUGAGGCAUUUGCUCAAGUGGAAGUAAAAGGUUGACGUUCUGGACCUGAGAAAUAUAAGCUUCAGGUAAAUAAUGGGUGUUUAGAAGGAUAGGAAUGACAAAACUUAGAAGCAUUUAAUUUUCUAUGAAUGUCCUAAACAUAGCAUCAUGCUUUCCUCUGCCAUUUAGCUCAAGGCAGAACUCUUACAUAUACAAAAUAAUUCCUGUGAAGUCAAAAUGAUCAUGCAGUCUUGAGCUGUUCCAAGAGGGCUUUGUUUGCUUAUUUGAUCCACGAGUGAUUGUCCUUAGCUAAAAUAUUGCAAUAGUGACAUGUAAAAAAUUGGAAGGCAGCUAUAGAAAUAAUAGUAAAUAAUAAAGGAAAUAAAAAUAAGGGAAAAGUCCACAAAUUACAGAUAGGUUAGCAGAUUUAUUAAUAAUGAAAUACUUCAUUGUACCAACACACAUCAAAACAAGCAAGAUGCUACCUAACGUUUUUUUGGACACCAGAUUAUCUUAGUCUGUUCGGUUGCAUUUUUGUUAUUAUUUUUAUUACCAAUGUUUGUUGUUCAGUUCUGUAUGAUUAAUAAUACACUUCUGUGCUGUGAUAUGAAUGUAGUUUCUACUAAAAAAUGGCGGGUAGGGUAGAAGGAGAAUAAAGGUUGCAGGAGGACUGUUUACUUGCUUAUGGACAAAAUGUACUCAAAUCUUGGUGGACAUGUAGGUAGGUAUCUUUUUAUAAUUAAACUGCACUGUGAGACACGA